GAUUUAAUUUACUAAAUAUGUACAACUGCAUUACUCAUGAACGAUUAAACACCUGAUGAAACAAAUUCCAACCAUAAUUGUAAUGCCCUUUCAGUAGGACUGGAUGUUUUUCAUCUACCCCAAUUNNNNNNACCAACCCAAAUAACCCCCUCCCCUCAAUUUGACGUAUCACUUCAUAUUUUAGUAAAUUAAAUCUGCAAAUGCGUAAUUUUCUACAAUUUAUAAAAUGUUUGUCAUUUCUAGAUCAACUCCAGAAACAAGGCCUCUUGUUUGCUGGUCAGGCCAAGUUCAUUCAGUGUCAGUGCACUUUCUCCAUCACUGAAAGCACGCCUUGGGUAUGG
rnacentral:misc_RNA from 1 species